GCUCUCUAUCCUCACCUCCAUCUCCUGGAUUUUCUAGAUCCUUUAGGAUUCAAUUCAGGGCUCUCCUUCUCCAUGAGAUCUUCCUUGAUUCUCCCAAACAUUAUUGCUCCCUAACUCAACAUCAUCAUUAUAUUGUAUAGGAAGGAGCUCGGUGACUCUGUGGAUUGACAGCCAGACCUGGAGAUGAUGAAGAAAGUGACCUUUCUAAGGGAAGAAGACUCGAGGUCAAAUGGUUCUACCAUCCCUUCUAGUUCUAAGAUUCCAAAAUCUAAGUCUUCAAUUUUGUUGAGAUCCAACCAUGAGAAGAACUAUAAAAGGAGAGAAGGAAGUUUGGCUUUUUGAAGAACUCAGGAUGAGCAAGAAGAGGACAGUCCACCAGGCAACAUGCCAAGGUAAGAAAGAGGUCACUUGGCCACUCCCAAAGCUUGAGUCAUCAACUAGGUAGAAGAAAGGCUCUAACCAAAAUCCAAAAAGAGGAAUAACCAAAAUCCUCCUUUAAGACUUCAAGGGCCUUGUUCAAU
rnacentral:lncRNA from 1 species